AAUUACCUGCAAUAAUCGUAGAUUUUUUUUUCAGAUUUUUAUUACUUGGAGAAAUACGACGAGAAAUUUUAAAUAUUCAAAUGUAAGUUAUACAGGUAAAAUUAAUAAUUCCAGCCAAUUAUCUUUCUUCCUUAAAUAUGCUUGGCAAAAAUGUAUCUCGAUUCAUCGAGCUGAUCGAUAAACUCGUGCAGCAAAACGAAGAGUGAACGUUUGUAAAGGCAUAAAGGAGGAGGUUGAUGGUUCCGAUUGAACGAAAAGGGAUGGAACGAUAGUGAGAACGGAGAGUGGAAAGUAAUUUGCAACGUCGAGUGGGAAGAUGGCGUGGCCAUCGUUACGGGACGAAUAUCCGAUUCAAUUUGUCCAUGUGAUCUAGGCACACGUGUCUCCUUUGAUCUUUCGCAAUUUUGAAAAUCGAAGCACGAAUAUGUAAAACGGUGGUGUUCACGUCUCACAAACGGUAAUUUCGAUCGAAUUGAGAACACGAGAUUGAUAAUUGAAACACCGAUGAUUCGGUGAAAAAUUCGAUUGAAUUAAGAUUCGUGGAAGAUGGACGGUUGGUUAAAAAUGAUCGAGUUAGACAUUUAUCACGUUGGAUGAGUAAUAGAAUUGUUAUUGCAGGAAGUCGUUCCCAGCUGGCCCACUCAAAUGUGUUUCGUUUCACUAUCGAAAUCAGUUACUUUACGAGUUUCGUUUAAUUGUAUUACUUUUUCGGAAAUUAAUUAAGAGUUACUUUUUUUUUAAAUUGCAUCGAAGUUAAUAGAACCAAUUUUCGUAACAUAAUUAAUGAUAUUGACGCAAAAAAAAAAAAAAUGUCUCGUAUAUCGCGCAAAUUGUCAACUUAAUUAACUAAGUGCAUUAUCUCCCGUGUAAAUUUACCUUACGAAAACAAACAUAAAUAAAAUUUAUCGCGAAAUAAAAUUUCACGCCACUUACAAUGUAUCUUACACGUGGAUCUAAUCCACGUGUGAAAUCGAAAUCAGAAUCGAGCGAACUAAAUCUAAAAUAUACUUAAUCCUUGCGUAACAUGGGCGCGUUUUAAUCGAAAUUGCAAUUUAUGCAAAUUUACAGAAGAAUUUUUCACUCGCAUGCAUCUAUAACCCAUCCAAUGCAGCCAAAAAGGUAGCGCAUUCUUAAUCCAUUCGAUUGAAAUCGAAAUCGCAGCGAAGCAUACGACACGACGGAACGAUCUCGUGACCGAUAUAUCGCCGAAUCGAGUGAAAGAAUCGCAACGAGUGCAUCGACUGCACAGCCUCGCCUUGACUCCUUCCUUUCUUUUUCCCCCUAAGGAUCCCAUUGGCCCCGAUUAACUUGCCCCGGUUGUUGCCUCUUAUCGCUCUCUCAGGGUCAACACGCGACGAUAAUUAGCGGACUGGUCGCGCAAGGAGUACACCGCGGUGAAUACGAGUGAAACGGUGAGAAACGGUGUUUGCAGAGUGUGCAUACGAGUGUAAAUCUGCAACGUAUAGAUCGAGGAUCUACGCUACGGAUUUCUUUGUUUUUUUUUUUCCUUUUUCUUCCCCUGCGAUUAAGAAAUUAAAGGAAAAACACGAGAGAUGUCUUAUCGAAGAAAGAAAAUGCUAACGUGCUUUACAAUUAUACGUUACGUGUACACUAAUUCACGAGACUAAAGAAAUGUGAAUGAAUUAUCACAUGUUUUAUUUAUUUUUUUUUUCUUUCGUGUAAUUGUGACAAUUUCUUUCACGUUAACGUGUGAUAAAAUUGUAGAUAGUUCUUUUAAUAAUUACCUGUUAAAUAAGAUAAUUCGAUGGUUCUUCAUUAAAAAAAAUUCAAUUAAAAGUCAUUUUUAAUCGCAUUUUUGUUUAAAUCGUUUCGAAAAAGUGGAAUAAUGAAUGUUCCGGAGAGAUAGAAUUCUGCCGUUAAAUUAUAUAUAGUAAAAGAGUAAGUAUUUUGGGAUUCUAACCUAAUCUAACCUAACUUAAUAUAUGUAUAGAAAGAUAGAAUUAAAACAGAAUUUAAUAGCAUCAUGCAUCGUAUUAAAAUAUAAACGAAUAAUGAAACGAGAUAAUUACAUAAAUUUUAAAUGUAAUAAAAGUAUAUUCGUAUUUAAAUACGAGACAGUGUUAACGAUACGAGCGUGGCCAAACGAGGAGCACAUUACCGGUGAAUGUACCGCUAUUUUUCUACCAACUCCUUAAUUAGUAACUAGCAAGUGUAACGUUAAACGUUUUACACUUAACCUCAACCGGAUGUUGCACCUAUGAAAAAAGGUUAAGACUCGUUCCACCAAUUUUAUUUCAAUCCUGCGACAUUUAUUUCGCGAAUAAAAUUAACCACGAUUAAUGCAUGAAACUUUAUUUUUAAUCCUUCAACAUUUAUUUCACGAAUCUAUAUUAUUUUCCCACGACACGCGCGGUUCUACUUCAGUUUCGAAAGUUCGCAGUUCUACUUCCGAUUGCGCCCGACAAUAGAGGCGAAAUCAUCAUUAAUUCGCAACGGAGGAGCUACUUUUAAUUAAGGGUGGUGUGACGGGGAAAAACUGAGUUUUAUUCGCCCCCUCGUUAAAAGCCCCCUAUGCACAACGACUCUUUGUCAUCACUUAUGAAUGUGUAACUGAAUAAAAGCCCUGGGUGGCACCUGUAGGGUCGACCAAACCUUCUUUACCAUCCUGAUCCCUUUUGUUUUUAGAGAUCGUUGCUCGGAUACGUUAGACGGAAUAAAUGUACACCGAGCUUGCUCUAAACUCGGUGUUCUCAAACCUAUCUCGAGUUGCCACAAUAACCUCGUUAAUAAGUAACAAGUAAUAUAACGAAAAGAUUGUAAAUUUUUAUGCAAUUUUAAAACGACAUAAUAAAUAUUCGAUAUGUAAAAAGUAUGUGUCGUGUUAUUGAAAAUAUAUUUCAAGCUGUGCAAUAUUACGCAAAAUCAUAACUUUAUUACGUAGAUUUAUCUAUGUAAAAAUUAUAUUAUAUACAAAAAAUAUCGUAAUUGGAUUUUAUAAUAUUCAAUCAUCGUAUCAGAAAAAAAAUGUAUUUACAAAGAAAUUCAAUAAUAAGACAAAAAAUCCAAUAAUAAGAUAAAAAAAUCCAAUAACAAGUUAAAGAAUUAAUUAAACGAAUUAACACAUCAGGCUUUCAUUGUCUUUAAGUCAAGAUUACAUUAUAUAUUUCUAUUACAAUAUGACAAUGUAAAUAUAAGUGUAUUGAAAUAAACGGUCCGCUUGUUGAGAACCACUAUUCUAACGAUAUCCCAUUUGCCCUCUAAGGUGGCUCGCUUGGCUACGUCCUUUUAAUCUAACACGAGUGUAAAUAUACGAAGCGUUUUGUACUUCGUGAAAGAAUCUAAUUAGGAAAUGAACGAGAUACGUAGUACGUGGCAUGAAGAUUUUAUCAUCGGGAUAAUUAUCUCGUUUCUUUGGAUUGUAAAAUUGCGAAAACUACUUUUGUGCAUUAAACUUUCCACCAGUUGACAUGGAAAGUGUUAUUCGUGCGGAUAGGUCAACAGAAGUAUCGUUGCUAAGGUUUAUGAAACCUUUCGAUGGAAGUCGUGUCGACAUGUGGGCCGACAUUUACAUAGUACAAUAGUACGUUAUGUUUCGCGAAGAAAUAGAAAGUUGCUUGCAAUGAUCUUCUGCCGUAUUCCGACUUGAUGUGAUCCUUCGAUUAUACUUGAUACGUGAAGUGAAAAUUUAAUAUCCACGCAAACUUUUCAGUAAUUUGAUUUUUUAUCUCGGUAAUAAAAUGAAAUAUAGAUUUAAUAUUAUCUACAAAUAGAUGUAUCAAAUUAUUAUAAAUUAUAAAUUAUAAUAUCAUAAUACAUAUAAUGUGAAAAAGUGUUUUCCUUUUCUCAAAAAUUUUCUUUUUUUAAGUAAAAUUGAAAUGUCGAAAUAUCACUUUUACAAUUUAUUUUGAGAGAAGUAAAUGAUAGUUUUAUACUUUUUUUUUCCCUAAAUUUUAUUAUACAUUAUACAAUUAUAUUCUAUAUCCGUUCUACCAAAAAUUUUGAAUUGAUCAUUUUAGAUUAUCAUAAUUCCAUGCUUUUUUAAAUAUAAUGAAUAAAAAUUGACAAUCGAACUAUUUUGAUCGUAGACAAAAAAAUUGCUAAUAUCGUGUUAAUCAUUUACAAGAUGUUAAAUGUUUCAUGUUUUUGUUUGAACAAAUUGAAGACAAAGAAUAUAUUUGCAUAUUAUCGCGUACGUUAUAAUUACAUCACAGAGAAACCAGUUCCUACGUCGUCUUAUCCGUUCUUCACCGAAGCGCAGAUUAAUCUCGCGAUUUUUGAACGUUUAUCGAUCCACCCACCCACGCGACCUGCUUACUUGCACUAUGUGUGCACAUGCGUGCACAUUUGUAUAUAAAUCAUAUGUGCCCGACUUCUAUCUUAAAAAAAAAAAAAAACUCAUCCAAUGCCGGCAAAGUAAAUAAAUUGCCCACAAUGCUAACCGCAAUUUUAUUUGUUCGAUGAAGAAUUCUCGUUUGUACGAGUUAAAACGUUUUCAUUAUUUAUUGUUUUCAUCGAGGAGAUAAUGAAAAUUUAAUUUUUAUCAAAACUCUGAAUCGCGAAAUGAGUUCGAAUAUUUUUAAACACAAACAUUUUUAUUCUUGAUUGAAAAUCGCGAUUAAUAUUUAAUAUCGAAAAUAACGAUGAUUUCCAAUAGAUUUUCAAUCUCUCGAUCUUUUUUGAUUUAUGUCUUAUCUCGCUAUCUCAAAGAUUUUUAUUAAUAAACUUUGUAACAUAAUAACUAAUUAAAUUCUUAAAAAUAAUAUUGUGCCUUUAACAAUUAAAAUAUCUUAGGUAUUUUUAUAUUUAAUAAAAUAUAUAAGAUAUUUAAAAAAAAUAUUUAAUUUUCAAAUGCCUUCCUCCCAAAAUAUAGGUCUCACGUUGGGAAACACUGCAAUAGAUCAUGCUAGAUCAUACGUGCGCAACACGAGUCAUUAGAUCCCCCUUUCAUACGUACUUAAAUCCUCUUGAAUAUUUCCAAGUCUACAUAUCAUCUUUAUACAUUUCCUUUACUUAGCUCUAUGCUUGAAAUAAAAUUAGAAAUCUAGAAUUAAAAAAAAAAAAGAAAAACCUAACCUAACUUAAUCUAACUUAACCUAACCUAAAAAAAAAAGAUGCAAAAGAAAUUAUAAAUGCUUACGCAUCAAUGGGAAGGAAAUAAUAAUAGUAACUUUUUAAUUACUUUCAAUUACUCAAAAUACACGCCUCACGUUGGGAAACACUGCAAUAGGCCACGCUAGAUUAUACUAGAGCGCAACAUGAGUCACUAUGCGCACCUAAAUCCCCUUCAACCUUCCAACCCUGUAUAUCUCCACCUUUAUACACUCUCCCACGCGUUCGAUGCCAAGUAGGGAUUUACCGAUUCAGCUAAAGCUUAGACGAGAACACAACUGUGUGUGAUUGUUACAGCGAGAGAUACAAUGUACCGGCAGAGUUUUCCAUCGAGUAACAGCCGUGUUCGCAUCGAUCCAUGUAUAUAACGAUACCUACCACCGCGGGAAACGCGUCAUUAAGGAUUCCACGGAUAAUUGCCCGCCGACUCUGUCACGGUUCAUUCUAUAGAAUUUCUCGGCUCGAUACACGAUGCAGUUUCGUUCGAUCUGGAAAAGUGAAUUGUUGCAAUAUGGAAUUAAUUAUAGUAUUACGAGAUUGAGUUAUGUUUUUCUAUUACUUUUUUCUUUUUUUUUUUUGCUACUUUGUUAUAUAUGAAGUUUAUGUAUGAAGUUAAUUUAAUAUUAUUGAGUUUGAUUCGAGUGAAUUUAGUGAAAUUUGUUUGGACUAUUAUUUGUUGAUUUUCCUAUUUUGUUAUUGUUGUUAUCACUUUGUAUGGAGUUAAUUUAAUAUAAUUGAAUUUGGUAUUUAUGUAAAGUAUUAGAAAAUGCUUUUUAUACUUGUCAUGGAGAUCAUUCAAUGAAUGAAGCUUUGAGCCAGUUCUCAUGAUCGUCUUGCGUAAGGCGAGCAACAUUUAAAGGUCACUAUUACGUCUGAACUACUACACUUUACUAUCUGCUACGCUCUUUGGUUAGAAUAAGUAGCUAAUGGUCGUGGAGGCUUCAUCUUCUUCUCUGGGUUAUUUAAUCAAGUAUAUUAAUCGCCAUUUGCAUAGCGUAUAAUUUAUCUCAAGACUGUGUUUCUAAAGGAGAUAAAAAUCUCUAGAAUGAAAUGAAUAGAAAAAUAAAAAUACGAGGAAAAUAUUAUUAUUGAGUAUGCUAAACGAGAUAAUAAUUCUUUUCUAAUUAAAGAUGAAAAGAAUUGAUGAUGGAAAUACCUGAAUAACGGAACGAGGCCACUUUUCUUUCAACAUCUAUUGAUCCAUUCCGAACACUAUUUUGUGAAUAAAUUCAGAACGAAUUAAAAGUUACAUUUCUUCGACAGUGCACGCUUCUUUUCGUUAUUAAGUGCAUUGUGCAACGCAAAGAUUUAAUGCAAGGCUUUGGCUUGAAAUCGGAAUCGGCUUACUCGGCAUCUUGUUUUUCCGCAGAGAUAUUACUCUUACGAACGAAAUCGUAUAUAAAUAACUUUUUUAUUGAAUUACGUAGUCACCGCUUCUACGUUUGCAUCACUGUGUACGCAACUUAUCUCUGAUACGUGAUAAGAAAACAGGAAUCUUAAAUCUCGAAUUUAAAUUUCAAAACUUUUCUCUCUCAUUUAUAAAUUACAAAUCUUUCAAACAUGGAAUUUCAUUUUUUUCCGAUAUUUGAAAAUUCAAAUAUCCGAGAAUUUAAUCAUCGAAUCCAACAUGUUAAAUAUUUCGAAUCGUAGCUGGCCAUUAUGAACGCUCUGAUGGAUAAAAAAUUACGUGACGUAAUUUCAAGAAACGAGUUGACUCACUCAUUUCAAGGAUACGAAGCAAGCAAUCAAUUUAAUAAUAAUCAAUUAAUUAAUUCGAAGGGAAAUUAAAAUACUCUUGAUACAUUCCCAUCGAACGAACGACAAUUAACCCUUUCGCAAUGGCGGAGGACUCGCGAGCAAUAAAAUGCGAGCGUCAUUCUAAUUUAUUUAGCGUGCAUUAGCAAGUGACGACGAGCGUCGCGACAGUUCGGUCGUCGAAUAAUCCACGCUCGAUCCAUUCUGGACUGCACGUGUGCUCGUAUGAAAGGCAAACCUGCACAUGUUGUCCAUAUGGUCAUACGGAUACGCGUGGCAACAGAGUACAUAGACGUUUUGUAAACGCUCACGUUUUCUAUACGACUCUCCGUAAUGCUCCUCGGGCCGUGUUCUCGCUUUUGUGUUACAGUUCGCAUUCGUUUACAAGCAAUCUUCACCUACUGAUGGACUACUGAUCGACGAUCGACUUUACUAUCAAAGAUUUACUAUGUGUACGAGUGUACGAUAAAUUUACAAGGCCGAAAAAUAAUCUUCUCUGGAAAGAAAAAAAAAAAAUAGAUUGGAUUAUAUAUCUCUGAUAAAUUUAUUGAAAAACUUACAUUUGUUCCGUAUCAGAUUCAGGAGAAUUAAUGAUGUACUUGUAUAUAAUAUUCUUAAUAUGUGAAAAAUGUUUUCUAUUUUUUUUUCACUGAAUUUAAAUGCAGUAUUGAAUAAAAAAAUAUGAACUUCUAUGAACUUUAUUCAUACCAGGGACAAUUUGAACAAAGAAGAUAAAUAUGUACAUAUUUAAAUAAAAGAGUAGGAUUAUAAGCAUAUAUAUUAUAAGAUAAAAAUUAUAUAUAUAGACAUUACUUAGACAUUUCAAUAGUUUUACGUAUAUGUAACUUUGGAUAUUAGAAAUAAAAGAAAAUGAAGUCAGUUAUAAAAAUUCACCAAAAAUAUUUAUGUAAACAAAUAUGGAGACGAUAACCUGUGAAAAGAUGAAAACAGUGAGAGACAUCUAGCGACAAUUUCAGAAAUUAGUAAUCGUACGAACGUUUCGUAUAUGUAUAAUCGAAAGCUAUCGCGAAGAGAAUCGAGCAUGGCUAAAUUCAUCCUUGCACAAUUUAAUGGUAACGUAAUAUAAUUGAAGCGUAACGAGAGAACCAAAAGAUGUGUCCGGUGAAUCGGCGUCAUAAUCAACAAAGAGCUUAUGCUAAUGAGUGACGUGCAGCGAUUUUACAAUAUCAGACUCGGUCGACACGCGUGCCUCGAAUCGAAUCCAUGAGGACGCCAUUCGUGCACGUGCACACACACGUCUCUGGAAUUCCUCGUUUCCCCCUUCGAAUGGCAUUCCUCAGGCCUCUGUCGUGUCACCUUCUUCCUCGAACAAUUGAGUCGCGAUGCUAUUUGUCGAUCCCCAACCGUAUAUCCGAGUGAGCAAAUACCUUGUGAAACCUCUUCCGCAGAAAUGGAAACGGAUUCGAAGCGUCUCGACAUGCUAUCUCAUUACUCAUCUGCAUUGUGAAUUUGUCUUUCUAGUUGGUUGAUGUAGUGUGUGUUGGCUUCGAAUUUCGACCGUGAAAAGGCAGUGAUAUCUAGAUGGCAUGUACGAGUUGGUGGUAUAUACAAUAUAUCUUUUUUUUAAGUAGAAUAUGACAUUUAGGAUAGAAACUCGUUUAAAGUACUUACAUUAUCAUUUCUACCACUUUUUAAAAAUGAAACUUCAGAGGGAACAUUGAACGUGAAUGAGGUAAAGUGUCGAACAAACUCGAUUCCUAUCGAUUAUUUUGACAAAUAGAUAAUUUCAUAGAUGUCACUUUCCGGAUUAGUAUUCAAUUUCAGACCAAAGAGGGUGUUACUGUAUCGUAGUUACUAAAUUGUGAAUAUAUUGAAAUGGAAACAUUAAACGUAUAUAUCUAUAUAUUGGAUAAAAUAAAUUCUUUUAUCUUCUAUUUUACCGAAACUUCGCUGAAUGUGCGGAACAUCCAGCGUCCCGGUUUACCUGGCCAAGUAGCACAUUCGCAAGUUGGCGCAGUACCACGACCUAAAUUUCGUGUCCGUUAAAUAUUUCAUGUUGCAGUGGUGACCGUGUACUGAAGAUAAUACUCGACGCAAAGCAGAUACGCUUUUUCUGCCGACCAUCCAUUUUGUUGGUCGAUAAUGUUGGUCCAUUUAUGAUCGGUAUAAGAUAAUACACUAUUUUAGCAUGUACACAAACCAUUCAACGCGAAAUUACUAACAAUAUUUCGUCGGAUAUAUUUACGAAACAUACUUUAUAUUGCAACUAUGUUUCUUCAAUGGUUUUUUCCAAAAUAUUUCUUUUCUUCUACAAAAUAAUUUUGUAACGAUAAAUUUGGCAUCUAACAUGUUAUUAUAAUAAUAAUAAACGUGAAAAAAUAAUUCGCUUUCAUUUCUGUAACAAUAAGAGUAGAUAAGAAACAUUCCAACCAAUCCUAGCAAUAUAUACUAGCAUUUUGCCAAGUCGAUGGUAGAAUAAACGAAACUUUGUUAUGACAUGUACCAGUUUCGUUACUUGUUCCCAAUUCCCAGCACUGACAGCUUUAUAGGCUGAUACCAUUUAUGCUCGUUCGACAUAAUGUUCAAGUAGUCACGCGACGUGCAACGAAAGGUUUCUUACCAUGGAAGACAUGGAUAUGUAAACUAUUAAUUCUUUGAGUAUUAAUGCUAAAAUAUUCGGUAGAAAAUAUAAACAAAAAAAAUGAAAUAAUUUAAAAAAUUGCAUAGAAAAUUAAAAUAAAAUUAAAAGAAUUUAUUUUUAAUUAUGUUAAAGGAACAUUUGUUCAAUAAAAUGAGAGAGAAAGUUAUUUGAAAAUUACAUUAUUUUGGAAAAAGUUGGAACCGAUAUCAAAAUUCCACUCAUCAUUGGUGGCCAAGAAAUGUUACAUAAGAGAAAGUAGGUCACGCUAAAUUAUAGGCUAAAGUAAUUCACCUUGAUCAAAACUGGUAUUAAAAACCUCAAUUAAUUCUGUGUACAGAUCAUCAAUUUAUUUUCAUCAAUUUAUUUUAUCUGGUGUGAAAGAUACCAUUACGACCAACAUCCUGUAGAUUAAAAAAUAAAUAUAACGGUUUAUUUGUGUAAGUAAACCUGCAAUUUAUUUAUCGAUAAUAUAAUUUUAGCGUCAUUACACUGUGCAUGCCGAUGAACCAAAUGCAGGUACCAGUUCCCCGUUUAUAUUCGGGUCACCAAUAAAGAAAGGAUAUGAGUCGUUGAGAUUACCAACGACAGGUUGAAUAAAUUAUACUGAUCGUUACGUGUCAUAAGAGCGACGUGCAGAUCGUUCCAUGAACUAUUCACUGGUUUUAUUCGUACGAGGAGCCAGGAAAAAAAAACUUAUUGAAACUUUCUUUUUUAACUCUUUGUUAUUAAUUAAAUAUUUAUUUUUUAUAAAAAAAAAUCGAUGGUAGAAUUAUUUAUUUUUCUAGGAAAAUAUCGAGAAAAUAAAAAAUUCCGUUCCAAUCGUUCUUCAUUCUUUAACAAGUUCAUUAUCUCGAACUUCUAUGUUCGCAUUAAAGUGAAAGUCAACUCGCAGAAACAUCUGUACUCGGGUUAGUGCACCAAGAAGAUGUCUGAAGUGCAUGGGUGCCCUUGAGAACAGCAGGUUCUCAUUAGUGAUUUAAAAAGAUAGCAGAAAGAUCAAGUGUACUAAUUUCAAAGCCUAUGGAGGAUUAACGUCAGACGAACUUUGUCGUUACAAAGACCAUUCACCUCUGAGAGUUCGCUACACAUGCCUGCAGGGUGACUAUAGGUCACUCAUUGAAAUUUUCCCUUAAUGCAACGCCUCUUUAAUUACAAUUCGUCGUGAAAAACGACGUUUCAAGAAACGUCGUACGUGCAUACAUCAUUCACAUUUAAUUUAAUUUUUGUUGCGUUUCCAUAUAAUUCCAAAUAAAUCGAUGAAAAACUCGUGAACCGAAACAGUUUCUUAAUGAAAACAGAAGAAAAAUUAUUAUUAGAUCGUAUCCCUUUAAUAUUUCGAGUAUAAAUAUUUCUUAUCUUCUUAAAAUAGAAUUGGAAGAAUUUUGAUCAUUUUAUUUUAUUUUUUUAUUUUUUUUUAGAGCCAACCAUCAUAGAGCUUCGUCAAUGUACAAAAUGUUAAGAAGAAAACGUUUUCGAGACAGAAGAAAUAAAAUUGAAGUUGCUAUAUCACCGGCCAUUUGUCGCCCGGUGUAACGAUCGGCCGAGGCUCAUGAAAAUUGAAUUACGAGCGUAGCCAAGAAAAACUUGUUUUCGUUGGUCGUUGGGUAGAUACGAUCGAUAAGGGUGUUAGGAGUGUGAGCACGAAAUGUAAGGCACACGGAAUAGGCCGGCUCGAUUCUGUCGAGCAAUAAAGCACAGUUUGGGUUGGCACAUACAGAGUGACUCACGAUCAGAAGGGAAACCGUUUCACGCGUUGCUCCGACCGCCCGGUCCAAUUUACCAACCAGCUUGAUCAAUAUUGCAUGUGGCACAACUGCAAACAAAGUCGUGAAACACUUCCUUCCUCCCAGAACUUUUUUCGAUCUCUUUAAGCGGAACACGUCACGAUUCUUUCCUCUAAAAUAUAUGUAUAUAUAUAUAUAUAUAUUUGACACGAAAGAAAAAUUCGACAUCAAAGGAAAGUUACUCGGAUCGAUAUAUUCAAUUGUGGGGACGAAUUCGAAUAAUUCAAUACGGUUUCUUUUGUACUAAAAAAAUCAACUAUUUCGAUAUUUUGCAUAAAUUAUUCUUACAAGAAAUAGAUAAUUUCUUCUCUCAAAAUUCCAAAAUAUAAUUUACCUACAAUUGCUCGUUAUCAGAUAUUGCUUAUUAACUUCAUUCUUGGAGCUAACAGGAUUAAGUUGUAAAUUAACAUUAUAUAUAUAUAUAUAGAAUAAAUCUAUAACGUCGCGUCUCAUUGAUAAAAAAAUUAUGAAUAAAGCUUCUCGUUUUCACAGAUCUCCCGCUCGAUGAAUCAAGAUACUGGUGUUACUGGAUGCUGAGCUCCCAAAGACGAAGCCUUUCUUUUUUUUUUUUUUUUAUCGGCGGAAACGCGAACAACAAAGAACACCGCAACGGAACAUUACCUUCUUUUAUAUCCGCCUUACUCGAUUUUCCUAUACGAUUCGUCAUACCAUUCCUUUGUAAACGGGUCCUAUUUAUAUAACACGGGGAGGGCAUAAACGCACGUGUAACAUGCUCCAACGAUUUUUGUAUACGGCCAAGGUGGGCGUGCGCCAAUAUCGCAAACACGGGCGGACAAUUAUUGGUGGGGGCCUUGAAUAUGGCGUAUGACGUCACCUCGUUCCCCCCUUUUUUUAUCGCAACAAGGGGGUUGUAGUAGCUGUGUCCCGUUAUCGAAGAGAGACCAAACAAGGGGGUUGGACUGGCUGUGUCCCGUUAUCGAAGAGAGACCACCCCCAAUAAGAAGUUUUUAUAUGCCAAUUUAAAGCGCGCCGGAGGAGGGAGGGGAGGGGGAUGGACGAAAAUAUCUCCACUCCCGUUUCCUGCCCGUGAAAGUUCAAACGUUAAUCGGCUGAAAAAUUGUAUAUUCGUUCUUCACGAAUAUUGAUGUUAUACUUUUUAACAAGUUAAGUAUAUUUCUUUUGUUAUGAUUAUGAAGUAGAAUUUUUUUUUUUUGGAUAUUAAUAUUAUAGGAAAAAAUCUAUUGUUUAUAAAUGGAAAUUCAUCGUUUGAGGGUAUAAUUUUUGUCGAUGGAGGAAAAAGUUUUAAAAUAAUUUUAUUGUUCAUAACUUGUCAAUGGAGAAGGAAGUCUUGAAAUAAUAAAAAAUUAUACGUUGCAAUACCAGAUUAACGAUAAUUUCUUGUUGUUUAUGUAAAAGUUUCUCUAAUAAAAUAAAUAAGAUAUUAUGUAUUUAUUUUAAAGAAAAUCGAAAUAUAAUUUGCGUCAUAUUAUAUAAUGAUUUAUAAUGGUGAAAGCGUUUGAACAUUAUUUUAUAGAAUUUAUUUAAUUCUGAUUUUUAAUGAAACUUUAUACAUAUGCAGAUUAUAAUAGAACAACAUUUUUUUCAAUAUUUGAUACAAUAUCUAUUUUUUUUACAGUAUUAAAUUUUGAACUUUUUUUUUUAAUUUAAAAUUUUACUUUGACAUCAUUAAAAAGUUAUUUAUUUAAAUUUCAUCCUUUUAAAAGAUUUCAUCCUUUUAAAAUCCUUAAUGAAAAAGAAAUUUAUAUGCGAUCCAUUCAAGUUCUGUUCAAUAAGAAAAUUUUAUUAAAAAAUAAAAAAGUAUUCCAAUACUUUCGUGAACCACUAUAUUACGAUACUGUGGAAAUAAACCAAAUAUGUCACAAAUAGUUAAAUAGAAAAAAUGAAUAUCACUUUCGAUGGAAUGAAUAUUUGAUUUUUCAAUAUAAUACCAGAUUCUUAUUUUUAUUCCUCUUCUUCGAUAUGUAGUACAUUUUAAUAAUUUUUCUUUAAUAAUAAAAAAAAAAGAGAAAGAAAGAAAGAAAGAAAGAAUCGAUUCGGAAAACACAGACGGAGAAUUGACAAGAGACGACGGCGACGAGUGUUCGUUGUAGGACCCGACUUGACUCUACGAUUGUGCUCCGUCUACCUUUACUAAUCCCUCCGGUUAAGCGGAUCUACCUUGUGCGUCGUACGUUUCCGGUCUGCGGCUUACACUUGUAUCGCUAUUUUCACGGCGAACUCCAACGAUAGGCUACUUGUCCUUAUCCAAAUCGGCUCGGUUAAUCGGGUGGAAUCGAAUGUCAACAACCGGUUGUGGUAUAUCACCGUUCGGUUAACCUUGCUGUUACGUAUCGAAAAGAGAAUAGAAAAACGUGACUAACUCGUUCGCUCGAGCUGGUGCGGUUUUGGACUUCGUUGUUCCUAGAAACGCCAGAACUAGAAAACAGACCGAGUUUUUCUUCCAAUUAAGAAUAUUGCCCGUAGAAUGUUGACAUACUCUCGAAAGGUCGAAUCAAGGAGAGAAAAGUGGACACAAAAUAGUAUACAAAACGUAUAACGUACAAUUCUUCGUUUACAUUCCGUUUUGUUAAUUGAAAAAUUGUUCUACAAAUUCUUCCAAUUCUAAUGAUAUAUUCGAAUAUUGAAAUUCGUUCCAAUAAGGUAUCACGUAGAAAAUAUUUCCAACAGAUAUUCAGAAUAAGGUAUAUAUGUUUGUCUGCAUGUUUUCACGACGAAUAAUCAAUACAAUAACAAGCGUAUAAAAGCGCUCGCUUUAUAUUGGUGUUGACAUAAUAUCGCGAACAAAGCGAUAUAACGAUAACAAAACCAAGCCCCAUAACGUAACAGGUACUGACAUUGUAUCCGAUUUGAAUGUUUAAUACAUAAUACGUGUAUCUCUUUAUACGGAGAAGCAAAGAAGGGAUCGAUAAUAAAAUUUAUAUCCUAACCCUAAAACGAUCGUAAGUAAAUUUGCCACUGUUAAUAAUCAUUACUGAAAUAAUAAUCUCGAGACUUGAACGUCACGUGGAAAUUACGUAGAUCUUAAUUCACGUAACCAGUAGGAACACAGUUAUUAUUCGAUCGACUCCGCAAAAUAACACAAAACUGCAACGGCUACGAAGUAUAUUUAACUUGUUUGCUUUGAGUAAAUACUUUGUCCUCCUUUCCGUGUUGUCAGGUGAGCGCUGUCGUCGCCAAUUUAGUGAUGCGCGCGCCAAAUGGAAGAUCGAACGUUGGAUCUAACGGACGAAAAAGAAAAGAAACAUCGUGUCGCGAGCGAGUGUGAUAUCGAGUUAAAACAAAAUUGUUUCAUUUAAACAAGAUGAACGAGACGUAAGAAACGUGUAUUACAGCAUUGCGUUACACUUGGAUAUCGAAUUAUUACUGUUGUACUCUUCGUCAAUCGUCGGGUCUUAAGUUUCAUACGAAUCGUAUGAAUAAAAAAGCUAAUCGUGUAAUUGUCGUUUAAAAAUAUUUUAUUCUUCAAAAUUUUCCACAUCGAUAAUGGUUCGAUCGAUCUUCGUUCAAAAUUUUUUUAGAACAAAAUUUUUUUCCUCAUUUAAAAUGCAUUCUACUCUUCAGAAUUAACUAUAAACAAUUUUUCUCUCGAAUGGAUCCAAGGUCGAUAAUGAUCUAUCGAUUCAAAAAAAAAAAUUAUGACAGCCAAUUCUCAAUUUCAUAGAAUAUAUCCCCAUCCAAUUCCUAUCUUACCAACCGUCAAUCGAAUCAUUCGUUUCCAUUUUGAAACAAACGUAGGCAAAGAAGAAAAGAGGCGAAGAAGCGGAAAGCGAAAGGCGGAGACUAAAAAGCUCGAGUGCCGGAAAAGGAGACGUGGACCGUGAAAGGUACGCGAAAACGAGUACUGCGAAAAAGCAGGAGACAAGACGGGGAAGAAUCCCGACGGACAGUGGCGCGAGAUAUCGGGUAACAUUCGUCAUGGUGAGUGCGGAGACGUCGACCUCGCAGAGAUACACGCCUGUCGGGACUGGUCGCGAAACUCUUCCAGCGACCAUCAACCGACCGUCAACGCGGUGGAACGAGUCCACGACAAAUUUAAUCUUCUCGCGAGCUUGAUUUCCGUGAUGGAACGAACGAUCACAGAUCCUCGUUUCCGUCGAGAGAUUCGCGGCCGAUUGUCAGACUAAAAGUUUGAAAUAACUUCUUGUACAAUGGAAAAGUGAAAUAUUUAUGUACCGGACUCACUAUAUUCGUGGAAUACUUUGGAACUAACUUUUGGAACAUUGAUUUCAAGAGAAAAUAUAAGUCGAUGUACGUGAAGGUUUAUUAAUUUAAUAAGUUGGAUGAAGAUAGAACUAUCUCGGUUUAUCUUCGUUUCCUUUCACAAACUUUCUAACCUAACCUAAUACAAUUACUUACAGCUUGAUGAAUAAGCCUUAAUAUUUUUAUGUAUUUUCGUAUUUGUUUUGAACCUUAGUCUAAUAUCAAUCUUCAAAAUAUUUCUUAAAUAUAUCAUCUUGUACGAAUAAACACUGUUUGAAAAUAUUAUUUUGUUUAAUUUUUUGGAUCUGAUUAAAAAUCUACUCUUUUCAGCAUCGAUGACGGUUGGUCGAUGGAAUGUCAUCAGAGGAGAGAUAUGCCAUAUUCUAAUGAAAGAAAAAUAAAUAAAAAGAAAAAGAAACACUAGAGGACUAUUGGGACGUUCUCGAGCUAUUUUACAGCUUCGUUUAUUGCGACUAUCGCGAUUAUUGCGCCAUCGAUCGGGGGAAUACGGUAAACUCGCGAUGGCGAGUCGUGAUAAUUACGAAGGAUACAUUUCAAGAAAAGAGUCGAGUGUGGUUAAACUCUGGCGAAUGUUGAUGAGUUUUUCGAGAGUUUUCGAGUUCUGGAGAUGAAAUAUUGAAGUGCUUUCCGGAAUUAAGCGCGCUUUCUUUGCGGUCGAUUACAAAGUGUUGAAGUUAGAAAAAAGGGAAAAGAAAGAAACGCAAAUGUCACGCUUCCCAGAGAGAGUACACUUCCUUCUAAACACAUAGAAAGAUACUCUUGUUCCGCGCAAAACAGCGCCAGGUCAACGACACUUUAACUGAUCUCAAUUCCGUAUAACCAAGAGCUAAUUGUAUCAAAGUAGGGAGGAAAGGAGAAACGGCGAAGUGGAAAACGUUUCCACGUAACUCGAUCAACGUCAAGGUGUCCACCCAUGUUACCACGUCUACGACCAGUCUGACCACUUAUCGACAUCUGUAAAUGCACCUUGAACGGGUCCAACGACGACUUUAUCCAUCGUUGUUGAUUCACCGCCAGUUAUCGAUAAAUUAACGCGGCGUAAACUUGACGCCUUAUCGUGCGUUGGCCACGCCUCUCUCCCUUUCUGUACCGAAAACGGGAGAUCGUGGGAUGGACGUGUGUUGCAAGCGAUAACGAUAACGAUGCAUCGUCGACCAUCGUUGCGGAAAACGGUCGCCCACAGGAAAGGAUCAACAGAGAGUACGUUGAAAUAAAUUCAACCAAAUUAAGUUGAACAACGGAUAAAUACAAUAUUCGAUUAUUAAUAAUAAAAGGAUAUAUAUUAUUUAGAUCUUUCAUUCAUAUCUCUAUACCGAGAAUUGAGAGAAUAAAGAAUAAAAAAUAUAUCAAACGAUUCUUUCCCAAGUUACCAUUAUCGUAGCACAUCAAGGACAAAGCAGAAUAAACGGAGUAAAAAACAAAUAUAAAACGAAUUCCCGCCAAGUUUCCCUUAACAAGUUCCCUUAACCGCCUUCGUGCAGCCUCUCGUCUCGAGAGAGAGCAUUGGAAAAGUAAGUAAUAACUAUCCGGGCGUACAAGAAUUCCUCUUAGUGGGAAGCACGAAAAAGUGCUAGGAACGACGGGGAUAAAGAAAGAACGCGAGCAAAGACGUUGGAAACGACGAGAUGCGAUUAUGAGGGAAAGAGAAGUAUAAAGAAAAAAACUUGGCUUCGAGCCAGGUCAAUGCGAAAGUGCCACGCAACGAUGAACGAUGGGCCUGGCUUCGAUCGAGCAUCGCAGCUGCAUCGCGCUGAACCAUACGGCUCAUAUUACGGGAGUUGAUGUCAGUGCGGCGAUCGGUAACAUGUUAGCCACGCAGGGUACGCAAGGAGGAAUCGAUGAAUACGAUUCAGGUCAUUGGCAAUAGCAAGAGGCAGGUAACUGCGGACUUUCGAUCGAGGAGAAAGCUACCGAAUUCUCGAGUCCUUCGUAUUCGCUUAACGCACGUUUUUUUUUUAUUAUCGGAUGAACGAAAUUCGUUUAUCGACGAGUCAUUAUGCUGUUUUUUUUUUCUCAACUUUUUUUUCUCUCUUUGUAAAUUUCUAAAGGUUUGCUUGAAAUUAUUUGAUUGAAAAUAUGUUAUAAUUGACAAACACAAUUGUAGUGUAUUAUUCGAUUAGAUACGAAACGGGUAAUAAACUUUGAAAAGUAAUUUGUGGCCAAUAAUGUUGUAAAUCGGACUUGUUAAGCGUGUGGUUAAUAGACGCAUUAUCUAUACUUGUACCGUUAAAUAGCGUAUAACGUUUAUGUAUUUAAACUGAGCGUACAUAAUAUCAAAAUAAAUGUUUGGUUAUUUGUAAAAA